AUGUCUGUGCAUGAGUUUAUGAAAGGCAGGUCUUCUUAUGCCCGUUCCAUGGAUGAGGGCACUGAAGCUCAGAGGGAACAACAGUUCCAGCCCGCUGGCCUGGGCGGGGGUGGGCGUGGAGAAGGCAGGUUUGUCUGGCUGCAGCUGCGGGCAGAUGGGAAGGCUCGCGGGCGCGGCCCCGGGGCAGACGCCCGGGUCCCCCGCGGCGGCUGGAGCGUCCACGUGGGCGGCGCGGGGCGACAGACUGGGCGGGGGCUGGCGGCGGCGGCAGCGCGGGAGGGAGCCGGGCGUGCGGGUGAACUGGCAGGGCGGCUCCGCUCCGCAAGCAGAGAGAGCGCCGGGUUGCCGGAGCAGGUGAGGCCGGCACGGGCCCGUGGAUGCGCUCCGUGGGUUCCGAGGGAGGAAGGGGCCGGGGUCGGAGGGGCCCCCGGGAAGCCGCGCGCUGCCUCCGCCAGGCUCCCGGUGGGCUUUACAGAGCCCGAGGCUCGGAGCGCCGCAGUCGGCGCGGGUGCGGGAACCCUGCCACUGGGGCGGAUUUGGGCUCCCACAGCCUCGGUGUUCUCUGCGCGCUGCAGGCAAAGGAGGGUUUGGAUUAACGCUCAGGAAGAUGUCUUGAGCCCAAAGCUGAGUGAAGGUUAGUGUCUGUCCCUUCUGCCCUGUGUCCCAGCAAAGCAUGUGCCCUCCACAGUAAGGCAGGACCACCCACCGCUCUUUGGGCUCUUUCCAAGAUUGGUUCCUGCCUUCUCUCUCCUGCUUGUCUUUCCAAAUUCCCCUUUCUGCUCUUCUGGGCAUGGCAGGUUCAGUUGUCCCAUUCUCUCCCCAGGUCCCAUCCAGGUACCGCCCUUGAGGCUACUUGGGUCUUCCAGGUGUCUGCAGGACCAAACUCAGACCAGAAUUGCCUCUGCAUGCCCGCUGCCACUGCCUUCUCCCUACUGCCUCUGUGCGCGUUCUGCAGAAGGAAUCU
rnacentral:lncRNA from 1 species